GACGAACGCUGGCGGCGUGCUUAACACAUGCAAGUCGAGCGGAAAGGCCCCUUCGGGGGUACUCGAGCGGCGAACGGGUGAGUAACACGUGAGUAAUCUGCCCUUCACUUUGGGAUAACCCCCGGAAACGGGAGCUAAUACCGGAUACGACCACUCCACGCAUGUGGUGGUGGUGGAAACUUUUUUGGGUGGGGGAUGUGCUCGCGGCCUAUCAGCUUGUUGGUGGGGUAAUGGCCUACCAAGGCUUUGACGGGGGGCCGGCCUGAGAGGGUGACCGGCCACACUGGGACUGAGACACGGCCCAGACUCCUACGGGAGGCAGCAGUGGGGAAUAUUGGACAAUGGGCGGAAGCCUGAUCCAGCAACGCCGCGUGAGGGAUGACGGCCUUCGGGUUGUAAACCUCUUUCAGCACCGACGAAGCGCAAGUGACGGUAGGUGCAGAAGAAGGACCGGCCAACUACGUGCCAGCCGCCGCGGUAAAAC
rnacentral:rRNA from 1 species